UCACAUCCAUGUUUUGCUAUCAAACCAAGUUUCAACCUCCUUGCCUCCUUCCUCCCUCCCUUGCUUUCUUCAUCUCCUUGGUUUCCAUUACUUCUCCACUUAGAGCUUCAAAGGUGAGGAGCAUUACGGAGCACUGUAGCGACCGGUGAUCAAGCCGGAGAGGAGAUCGUCAUUGCCAACUUGUCACCAAACCUAGAGGAUCGUUUUAGGGAGUGGUCUUGGAUCUCAUUUUUUUGGGCUUAAGCUAAUAUCAGAUCAAGAGUGGUAGACCGUGGUGGAUCUUGAAAGACUGCCUGUAGAUGUUGCUUGUCCUGUGUAAAAUUGUAGUCCUUGUCAUUGUCUAUCACUAUGUCCCUGUAUUUUGUAUUUUGGACUUCUGUAUCCCGAUUUUGUGUACUUUGUAGAGUUUGUAAUCCUGUAACUCAGUUGGGUUAUUAUAGUUUUACUUGUCCUA